GGGAGAGGAAAUUGUUUCCUCGAGUCGUUGAUUUCACACUGCCGAGAAAAGCCUCUAGAUAGAUAAUAGGUGCCCGUACCGCAAACCGACACAGGUAGUCAAGAUGAGAAUUCUAAGGUGAGCGAGCGAACUCUCGUUAAGGAACUCGGCAAAAUGACCCCGUAACUUCGGGAGAAGGGGUGCUCUUUAGGGUGCAAGCCCAGAAGAGCCGCAGUGAAUAGGCCCAAGCGACUGUUUAUCAAAAACACAGGUCUCUGCUAAACCGUAAGGUGAUGUAUAGGGGCUGACGCCUGCCCGGUGCUGGAAGGUUAAGAGGAGUGGUUAGCUUCUGCGAAGCUACGAA
rnacentral:rRNA from 1 species